GCCGCCUUAGCUCAGCGGUAGAGCACGGCUUUCGUAAAGCCGGGGUCUAGGGUUCAAAUCCCUAAGGCGGCU
rnacentral:tRNA from 1 species